rnacentral:rRNA from 1 species
UACGUAGGGGGCUAGCGUUGUCCGGAAUCAUUGGGCGUAAAGCGCGCGUAGGCGGCCAGAUAAGUCCGGUGUGAAAGCCACAGGCUCAACCUGUGAAUGCCGCUGGAAACUGUCUGGCUAGAGGACGGUAGAGGGGGGUGGAAUUGCUGGUGUAGCGGUGAAAUGCGUAGAGAUCAGCAGGAACACCCGUGGCGAAGGCGGCCCCCUGGGCCCGUACCUGACGCUGAGGCGCGAAGGCUAGGGGAGCGAAC